AGGGAGAACUCCAAUGGCGUCUGUGUCAGCACGCCCACACCAGGCCACAACAAUGGCCGCCACCAAUGUCCCAGUCCCUGGAGAGGUCUCACCCCUCACCGAGAUCCACUCAGGGCCUAUCAGAGUGAAUAACAAUUUUAUUGAAGAAAGCCAAAAGUGUAUUUUGUCUGAUAUUUGUAUAGCUACUUCAGCUAAUUAUUAUUGAAGUCUACCACUUCUCACCACCAUCAUGGCCUCCACCAUGACCCUCUGUAGGCUCGACACUCUAUUCUCAACAAAGCAUCCAGAGAGAGCAUUGUAAAUUGAGAAAGAUGGUCCCUGAGCUAACAUCAGUGCCAAUCUCCCUCCAUUUUGCAUGUGGGAUGCCGCCACAGCAUAGCUUGAUGAGUGAUGUGUAGGUCCGCACCCAGGAUCUGAACCCAUGAACCCCAGGCUGCCGAGACUUGGACAUGUACAGCUCCUUCAUAUUGGCUGCUGUGCCCUUUGACAUGCCCCGAUCCUGGGCAGGAACAAGAAAAUGGUUGGGUCAUGGGAUCAGAAACAUUCUUCUAGCGGAGCCCUCUCCACAGGGAAGCAUGAAACCAAGCUACGGAUGAUCCUCCUUCUGAUUUUUUUCCGUUGCUGUACAUGGUAUUCAUUUGUAUAUAAAUGUAGAGAGGAAUGGAAUAGAAUAGAACGGAAUUGAAGAGAAGAGUAAUAAAAAGGAAAGAAACGACACUGAGUCAUUGAGCUUUUCCUUGUUUAUGGCCAAUAAGAAAAAUAGUUAUCCUUCUAUAUUCCCUCAAACUGCAAUGCUGCUACGUUGAAUUUAAGUUCCUCAAGUGACCCAUCGUCCCCCUUGUCAAGAUAAGUGGUUUUAUCUGCACAAAAUGUUCUUCACUUACCUAUUCCCCUAGAUAUGAAUGCAUCAAGUAGCUGAAAAAUACUCUAAUUUUAAUUUAGAGAUAGAUGACUUUGCUUACUAACUGCCUGAGGGUUAUGGAAUUUAAAUAACCUAUACAACUAGGGAAUGACCCAGAGACUUCCUAUAAGUUUCAAUUUUCUGUGAUUCUUGAUUUCAAGAAUACACCGAUUUAGUUAAUAAAUAUCUAAAAUUUGAAAAACUGUGAAGCAAGUUCCAGAGUUCUCUGAAAUAUAUCAUAGCUGUAAUUUGAAUGACUCUUCCAAACAAGUUAUGCCAACACUGCUCAUGGGCUGUUAUCCAGGUGUGUGUGUGUGUAUGUGUGUGUCUGUGUGUGUAAAGCGUCUCGUAAAUGUCCUCCAGAUGGUGUGAUGAGUAGAGGGAUUUGCUGUCUUUUUUUCUUAGCAUUAAAGCCUUGGGUAUCCCCACGGCUAUGCAAAGGAAGGUAUCCCCGUGGCUUUGUGUGAAGUGUAAAAGCUUUAUUCUUGUUUUGUAGAAGUUUCUUUUAGCAUAGCAACAUUCAGAGACGAAUCUAAAAGCAAAAUAACUUUUAAGCUUGGAGUUCUGCUAUGAAGAUUACUUUCUUUGGUAAAAAGAAUCCCAAAUAGUGUCUGAAAAUAGGUCUCCAUGGGCACAUUUUAUGAUUUGAAAGACUUUUUUCCUUUUUCUUAAAAAGCUUGUUUAGAAGCCUAAAUAACUAACUUCAGUGAAAGAGAAAAAGAGCUCACCAACUUUGGAAAGUAGGCAAAGUACCUUACAUUGCCUGCCUCCCAUCCACAGCUCAGCUGUCAGAAUGGCAGCCAUAUUCCCAUGAUCAAAACCACCUAAUUUUCUAAAUACCCAGUUUUAGGCGUAUAACAACAACAAACAUUUUCAAUACAUCAGUUUGUCAUGUUAAUUUAAUACUUUUUGAGGCUUUCGCAUUCCAUAUUUAUUCUGAAUUUUUUUUCUCCUUUACUAAAAUUGACCCCUCCUAUAUACCACUUCACAUCCUCUUAGUCUCUCUCACUUGUCUCUUAUUUCAGCCUUUGCAUGGGUUCCAAUCACCUUUAGGCAGGUGAGUGGAGAUGAUCACCUCUUCCUCCACCAUCUACAAAGGAUGAUUUUAUGAUGUGCUUCUUUGAGGAUCUCAAAGAAACGAGCACUUGGUUGCCCCCUGGCAAGGCCAACUCAGUGAAACAUAAUUGUCAUGGCUCUCCUUUUCCCCCUUUCUCUCCUCCUUCUUUAUUCCCUUUCCCCAGGAUGAUAUUCCCCCCAAAAUACCCUUACAUAUAUGUUUGUUUCAGGCUCUUAUUUCUAGGGAACCAAACUAAAAUGUUCGGCAUUGCAUCUGAUAAAUCAUUACAUAUUUUAAGGUUUACUUAUUAAAUAAAUUGCAAACCUAUCCUCCUCUUCUAUACCCAGUGACAUGACUUAUAAUAGAGCUUUUGUUUAGAGCCUCAUCAUUUCUCAGAGUAGCCUCCAAGUUUUCCCUUUCCCUUUUCCCCAAAACCUUGGCAUUACUGUCAACGUUAUCUUUCAACAAAUGCAAACGCUGCCAUACAUCCCUUUAUUUACUUUACUCCAGUUACUAUCUCAGACACUCAGCAUGGUAUAGAACACCGCUCAGAAACCAGUUAAUGGCUGCUUCUCUAGGCUAAUCCUCUUACAUCCAUGCCCUGUUUCCCAGCACAUAAAUAUUGUAUUUGCAUGUAAUAAAAACUUCUAGAAAGAUACGCCUGGGUAUUUUCAUAAAUGGUCCUUUAUUUAAGUAAGGAACUAAGUGUUAAUCGAGAGACAUAUGUAUACACUUGCAGCAUUGGUUUCCAUCUCUGUCCACAAGGCCAUAGGGACAUUACUCCCUGUCUAGUACAUUUGUCAUCCUCAAAACAGACUCAGGUAUUACGUGGUCUCAAAAAAUUGCUUUGAUGCCUUCACUUGAUAGUGAAUUUAACCACUCCUUUUUCUGUACUACUUUGUACCUGGUCCUCUAUCUGUUAUAUCAAAAUUUAUUUUUUCCUUUCAGAUAUUUGUUGAAUUUAAUUGUGUGCGUUUAUCACAAAACAUUUCUUUAUACUUUUCUUUUUUAGUACAUUAUUGUGCCAGCUAAUCUUUAUAGUUUACUCCAAGUUUACAAGCAGAGGUUAAUUUUCCAUCUGUCUGCGAUCCUUUCUAAGAGGUUCCUUUCUGAAUUUGGUAGGGAUUUGGAUCAAAUGACAUUUUUUAAGCCUUUCAUUGUCUUUUGUAAUAAAAAUUGAAAAGAAAUGACAAUUAGAGUCCCUUCCAGUCGAUUAUAUUUGACACCUCACUUUAGAUUCUCUAUGUAAGCAAUGAUGAGAGGCCAAUCAUACAUGAAACACUGAGAAAGCAUUAUAGAGUGCAUGAAAGUGGUAAUAUAAGUAGUGCAAACACUAAAUGAUUUACUACUUCAGGGGAAGGAUGUAUUGAUUUUUACUGGGGUGUUUGGAAAGGCUUAUAAGAGGUGUGGCAUGGAUUGAUUUAUUAAUGUUGAAGAGUUAGUUCAAAAAUCCAAGAGCAGUAUCUACCUAACACGUGACACACCUGUAAUACUGAGUACGCUUCAAUACAUAAAAGAUAUAUACAGUGAUAGAAGGGCCAGAGAAAUCCAAGUGGAGUACAUCAAUAAAUCAAUAACGAGGGUAGCUCAGUGGAUUCUUACGUUCUUAAGUAUGAUGCAUCUAUCAAACAAAUAACAAGAUGAAAUAACCUUUUAAAUGGUGAAACACUAAUUUUAUUGGGUGUAACAAGAAUCUGAUGUUUUCCUACUAUUAUAUUAUUAUUCAAUUUUUUGGAGUUCUGGAAAAUGAAACAUACAAUAAAAUUAUUUAAAAACUCAUAGAAAUUUCAUAAAAGAAAAAUUAAAUUAUUUACUUUUACUGACGAUUUGAUUACAUUCCAAAAUAAAACCCAAAUGCUAUAAUAAAAUUAAUUUGAUUUAAGAUAUAAUGAUAAAAUAUCUUUACAUAAGCUGAAAAUAAAUCAUAGCUUGUUUUAUUCCAAAAAGUAAAUACCUAGAAAUUAGAAUUUGAGAAUCAGAUAAAAAUCUUAAUGAAAGGCAUGGAACAAUGUUUUUAAUUUGUUUUAAACAAAUGUGAAGAAAUUGCAUGCAAGUGGAGAAAAAUAGAAUGUAAAUACACAAACAAUAAAAUUAUAAUAAAAGUGUCAAAUUUCUUGAAGUGAAUAAUUUUUGAAGUUUAUGUAGUAAUAAAUAUGUAAGAAUUGCCAAGACAAUUAUUUAAAAAAAUGAAUAUAAGCAUAAACAAUCUGUGGCAGAGCUAAUGUGUACCUACACAAUAGUUGACCCCCAAUCUCUUCUCCAUUGAUUAACUUCCAAUCUCAUGAUUAAAAAUUGAUGAAUUUUCUAGCCACCACACUCUUAGGAGUGGUCAUGUGACCUAAUUUGCCCAAUGAGACAGAUCUAAGUAACAUUGAGGGGUUUUAGGAAGUUAUUUCCUCUUUGAUUAAAGAUAUGCCCAUAAAUAAUGUUUGUAAAAUUCUUAUCUGAUAAACAAUUUAGGACAGUCACAAAAUAAAAAUAAAGAGCCAACCCUGAUGGCCUAGUGGUUAAGUUUGGCAUGCUCCACUUUGGCAGCUGGGGCUCAGUUCCUGGGCGUGGAACCACACCACUCAUUUGUCAGUAGCCAUGCUGUGGGGGCAGCUCACAUAGAAGAACUAGAAGGACCUACAACUAGAAUAUACAGCUAUGUACUGGGGCUUUGGGGAGGAAGAAAAAAAAGAGAGAGAGAGUAAGAUUGGCAACAGAUGUUAACUCAGGGUGAAUCUUUCCCAGCAAAAAAUGAAUAAAAAAAUAAAUAAAAAUAAAAAGGUAUGCUCAAUAAUUAAAGUCUCUCCUAUUUCUUUCUUCUCCCCACUUUAUUCUCCCUUUAGACAAGGUAAAGUGAGCACCUGAGGCAUGGAACUAUAGCCACCAUCUUGCGAUCAUGAGACAGAAGCAAGAAUGCCUUUUGGAGAAGCCAAAAUGACACAUGACCUGGAGUUGAGAUCAGAUAGUACUAAUCUGUUGAGAGAGGAGAAGGAACCAAACUCUGAAGGAGAUGCUGUUAUGAGAGACUCUAUAGCUCUGAUGGAGCUCCCAUCAAAGAGCAACCAGUACCAAAGAUAGUUCCAUUGAGUGUCUGGCUCAAAAUACAGGUGCUGCUGCUACUGCUGCUCAUCCACAGUUUGGGAACAGCUGUACUGGAGUAAGAGCUGGGCUUUGGGCCAUGAGUGACACGAAUAAGCAAGAUGAAGAACUGACAAGUGGAUUUUGACAGGGUUGUAUAUGUGAGUUUGAGAGCCAGAGUUGAGAAGAAGUAAACUGCUCCACAUAAUCAAUGAAGAACUCAGACCACAAAUGAAAAGUUUUGGAGGGAAUGUGAGAGACAAGAUUGGAAAGGAGAGAUUUUGCACCAAAGAGUUGAACAGAAACCUAUAUAAGUUCCAGUCUGUCACCCUCUAAUGCCGUUCAAAUCUGCAGUUGUUUCUGGAAUCAGAGAUAGAAAAAUGGUGUAAUUGCAUUUCUUAAAACCAGUUAAAGGCUGAAUAUCACAUCUUUGAUACUGAAGGAAAAAAAAAAACAGGCAAAAUUUGUGAAGGUAAAGAAUCUGUAGUCAAAGGAAAGCAUUGACAUCCAAUCAUACCUCUAGUCUCAUAUGGCUUUUUAGUCUUCCUAUUAAAACUUGGGUUUAUUUAGAAUGAUAACAAUCCACUAACUUUCCUAGAUUUGCUGUGAAAUAAUUAAGUGAUGUUUGUGUUUUGAUUUCAUUUUGAUGGCAGACAUUAGAGCACAUAUUUGAAGCUGUGAGCAGUAUCUCCGUCCCUAAAAUUUCUAAGUAUCACAUUCUACUUGAUGUUUGCACAAAGCAGUUAAUUGUCUUUGAAUUUACAGAUCUCCAUAGCUCAAAGAGCAGCACGUAGAUUUGAAGCAGUUGUGACUAAAUGGGAUUUGGGACUACAUCCCUUGGAGAGAGGGUGAGUGUGAUCUGCGUUAGUGCAAAACAAUGAAAGAGUUACCUGGUGAACAGAAGGGCAGAGUGUGACAGAGCAUGGCUGGAUGUUUACAUGGCCUUACUUCUUGGACAUGCCACUCUACAUCUGAUUUUUCAUCCUCUUUGUCAUAUGUCUUUAUGACUAAACUCUGGCCAGUGGAUUACGGGUAAACGAUGUCUUCCACUCUUAGUUAAAAUGCCUUCUUCCGCCACACAUACAAACAAAGUAAAACAAAAAAUGUCCAUGCAGUCGUCUAUCCAUCUCGUCCUGGUCAGUGGACUGGUGAUAACACCAAGAGUCACCUUGGAAACUAUGUGAGGAUGGCAGCUCCCCGUCCACUUAGGUUUUUGACUGGGCAUGUGAAAAGACCCUGCCCCCUCCACAUCUCCCAGCAGCCUCCCCAGCACACACUGGAUUGGACUUUAUCUGAGCCAGAAAGACUUUUCUUAUGUUAAUUCACUGAGAUUUGGGGGUUUAUCUAUUACAGCAACUAGCAUCAUUGAUGUAUAUAUAUAUAUAUAUUUUAUUUUUUGUGAGGAAGAUUAGCCCUGAGCUAACAUCCAUGCCAAUCCUCCUCUUUUUGCUGAGGAGGACUGGCCCUGGGCUAACAUCCGUGCCCAUCUUCCUCUACUUUAUAUGUGGGACGCCUGCCACAGCAUGGUUUGAUAAGCGUGCGUGGGCACCCGCCUGGGAUCUGAACCUGCGAACCCCAGGCUGCUAAAGUGGAGCAGGCGAACUUAACCACUCCGCCACCGGGCCAGCCCCACAACCAACAUCAUUUUAAUUAAGAGAGUAACUUUCAAUUAAAUCCCAAAUUUAACUUGUCACUUUGAUAGAACAACUCAACAAAAAUAUAUAAUCCCCCAAAGACCAAGUAGCUUCCUUCUAAAAAAGAUUUUACUUUUGUGCAUUUCAGUCCUUUUUAUACUUAAAAUGUAUAUACAUUUCUCAAACUACAAAUGCUGCUGUCUUUCCUACUGAUCUGACCUGGGGAUCACACUUCUGCUAGCCACUCCUCCUAGCUGCCUACAUCAAUGUGUUUACCCUAGGGCAACUUUCCUAUAACUGCUCUUGGGUCUAAAAGAAUAAUUUAUAUUUUUCCUGCUUUGAAAAUGAUAACCCGGAUUAACUCAUUUCAGUUUCUCACAUUUCCUAUGAAUCACUAAGGAAGUGGCUAAAAACAAUCUAUAUAUCUAAAUAAACUGUAUUAACAUUUUCAAAAAAUUUUCUUAUAGAAUACUUUAUUUGAUAUGCACAUAAAAACCCAUGUCAGAGGUGAGGCGGUUGCUCUCAGCCCCACUUUACUAGUAAGUACAAGUUGAGUCGUAGGUCAUCCAGCUGGCCUGUGGUUCAUUCUGGGCUUCAGAGCCCUACUUCGUGACACUUUUAAACUCAGCAAAAUGCUAUCAAGUUUUAACCUAGCACAACAAAUCACUACUUUCUUUUUUUAAAAAGCUUUGGUCCUGAGGUCAGAGAAAGUAUACUAUGCUCUGUCUAUUCUUCAGCACCUAUCACAUUUUCUCAAAUGUCACAGGACCCAAUUAAAAAAUAAAGUUUAGGGGCCUGCCUUGUGACAUAGUGGUUAAGUUCACGUGCUCUGCUUCAGCGCCCGGGGUUGCCUGGGUUGGAUACUGGGCACAGACCUAUGCACCACUCAUCAAGCCAUGCUGAGGCUGGGUCCCACAUAGAGCAGCUAGAAGGGUGUACAACUAUGACAUACAACUAUCUUCUGGGGCUUUGGGGAGAAAAAAGGGAAA